rnacentral:antisense_RNA from 1 species
CUUCAGCGAACCGAUCCAGACCGGACGGUCCCCAGGUCGGCCCUGCCCAUACGUGGCCAGCAACGCCUGCGCCUC